AAACAGAAGUUUGGAGUUUCACACUUCAGCCAACUUUGCUAAUAUAUUUUUCGCUCUUGUUUCCUUUUUCCUGCAGAGCUUUCAGCCGUCCAGCUGCUAUCAGUCAAACACUGACUCAUUCGCUAAGAAGUAAUGAACAAGGGCGGAUGGAGAUAAAACCCACCUGUAUCCUGGCAAAGACUAAAAGAUUGAAUCGACGCCCUUGUGGAUGACCCCAGGUGUCUAAUUCAGAAAUGCUUGCAGGGUGGUCAGGAGCCGCGCUGAGCCUUGGAUCACACAGUUUGUACCCGGCAGAUAACCCUGACGGUGACCCCGGGCGCUGCC